rnacentral:rRNA from 1 species
GAUGAACGCUGGCGGCGUGCUUAACACAUGCAAGUCGAACGAUGAAGCCCAGCUUGCUGGGUGGAUUAGUGGCGAACGGGUGAGUAACACGAGAGUAACCUGCCCUUGACUCUGGGAUAAGCCUGGGAAACUGGGUCUAAUACUGGAUAUGACUUCUCAUCGCAUGGUGGGGGGUGGAAAGAUUUAUUGGUCUUGGAUGGACUCGCGGCCUAUCAGCUUGUUGGUGAGGUAAUGGCUCACCAAGGCGACGACGGGUAGCCGGCCUGAGAGGGUGACCGGCCACACUGGGACUGAGACACGGCCCAGACUCCUACGGGAGGCAGCAGUGGGGAAUAUUGCACAAUGGGCGCAAGCCUGAUGCAGCGACGCCGCGUGAGGGAUGACGGCCUUCGGGUUGUAAACCUCUUUCAGUAGGGAAGAAGCGAGAGUGACGGUACCUGCAGAAGAAGCGCCGGCUAACUACGUG